rnacentral:lncRNA from 1 species
UCUUGCCUCUCCCAUCUACCUAGGCCGCUGCAAACCACAACAUCACAGGAAUGGAGAGCGAGAGCUCUCACAGUCUCGCACCGAACAGGCAAGCAGCCUUAUCUUUAACAUUUACUCCUCCGUUUUUUUUUCUUUCUUCCUCUCUUUCUUUCUUCUAUUUUUUUUUUCUCUCUCCCUCACAAGGCAUCGGUAGGAGGGGAGAUGGGGAGAGGCACGACCACCGAC